rnacentral:tRNA from 1 species
GGGCUAAGUGGCCUAAGUAAAGGUGUGACAUUGAAGCUGUUAAGAUGGCGUUUUAGCGCCCUAGCCCA